AUCCAGACUCCUACGGGAGGCAGCAGUGGGGAAUAUUGCACAAUGGGGGAAACCCUGAUGCAGCGACGCCGCGUGAGCGAUGAAGUAUUUCGGUAUGUAAAGCUCUAUCAGCAGGGAAGAAAAUGACGGUACCUGACUAAGAAGCCCCGGCUAACUACGUGCCAGCAGCCGCGGUAAUACGUAGGGGGCAAGCGUUAUCCGGAUUCACUGGGUGUAAAGGGAGCGUAGACGGCCAUGCAAGCCAGGGGUGAAAGCCCGGGGCCCAACCCCGGGACUGCCCUUGGAACUGCAUGGCUGGAGUGCGGGAGGGGCAGGCGGAAUUCCUGGUGUAGCGGUGAAAUGCGUAGAUAUCAGGAGGAACACCGGCGGCGAAGGCGGCCUGCUGGACCGCGACUGACGUUGAGGCUCGAAAGCGUGGGGAGCAAACAGGAUUAGAUACCCCUGUAA
rnacentral:rRNA from 1 species